GCCUACGGGCGGCUGCAGUGAGGAAUAUUGCGCAAUGGGGGAAACCCUGACGCAGCGACGCCGCGUGAGUGAGGAAGGCCUUCGGGUCGUAAAGCUCUGUCAAAGGGAAAGAAGUGCAUGGUGGCUAAUACCUGCCAUGUUUGACGGUACCCUUAAAGGAAGCACCGGCUAACUCCGUGCCAGCAGCCGCGGUAAUACGGAGGGUGCAAGCGUUGUUCGGAAUCACUGGGCGUAAAGGGCGCGCAGGCGGUUUGGUAAGUCAGAUGUGAAAGCCCACAGCUUAACCGUGGAAGUGCAUUUGAUACUGUCAGACUUGAGUACCAGAGGGGAAAGUGGAAUUCCCGGUGUAGAGGUGAAAUUCGUAGAUAUCGGGAGGAAUACCGGUGGCGAAGGCGACUUUCUGGCUGAGUACUGACGCUGAGGCGCGAAAGCGUGGGGAGCAAACAGGAUUAGAUACCCUGGUAGUC
rnacentral:rRNA from 1 species